UUUUAUUUGAGAGUUUGAUCCUGGCUCAGGAUGAACGCUGGCGGCGUGCCUAACACAUGCAAGUUGAGCGAUUUACUUCGGUAAAGAGCGGCGGACGGGUGAGUAACGCGUGGGUAACCUACCCUGUACACACGGAUAACAUACCGAAAGGUAUGCUAAUACGGGAUAAUAUAUUUGAGAGGCAUCUCUUGAAUAUCAAAGGUGAGCCAGUACAGGAUGGACCCGCGUCUGAUUAGCUAGUUGGUAAGGUAACGGCUUACCAAGGCGACGAUCAGUAGCCGACCUGAGAGGGUGAUCGGCCACAUUGGAACUGAGACACGGUCCAAACUCCUACGGGAGGCAGCAGUGGGGAAUAUUGCACAAUGGGCGAAAGCCUGAUGCAGCAACGCCGCGUGAGUGAUGAAGGCCUUCGGGUCGUAAAACUCUGGCCUCAAGGAAGAUAAUGACGGUACUUGAGGAGGAAGCCCCGGCUAACUACGUGCCAGCAGCCGCGGUAAUACGUAGGGGGCUAGCGUUAUCCGGAUUUACUGGGCGUAAAGGGUGCGUAGGCGGUCUUUCAAGGCAGGAGUUAAAGGCUACG
rnacentral:rRNA from 1 species